rnacentral:lncRNA from 1 species
GUGUCAGUCAAGAGGCAACACUAGGAGGCAAGGAAUCUGCAUUUCUUUCAGACCUUGGCAGAGAGCGCCCUGGGAAAUGCGGAUAUAGAAGGUCAGGAGAACAUCUCUCCUGGUUAUACAGCAUUCCAGGACUCCUCAUCUGUUUUUAAGAGGGAAAUCUGAGUUUUCAAGGAAAGCCGAAUACAGUUGCCAAGUUGCCAGUCAAAGAAACAAUGUCAACACCUGCUCAUAGAGAUGGAAUUCCUAACCCGGAAUAUUGCCCUUGAAUUACAACGAGAAAAAGAACACUUCUUAUUCCUGUAGCACCUCUUCAAGUGAGAUGGCAGACCACCUCAGGAUGGAAAUGUAUUUCUUCAUCCCCCUCUCUACUUCCCUGUGACCUCCUGCAAAUAAGGUGAG